rnacentral:rRNA from 1 species
GAUGAACGCUGGCGGUAUGCUUAACACAUGCAAGUCGUACGGGAAAAUACAUUUUCCUAGUGGCGGACGGGUGCGUAACACGUAAGAACCUACCUUUUGGAGGGGGAUAACAUCGGGAAACUGAUGCUAAUACCCCGUAAGCUGAGGAGUGAAAGCGGUUUUCCGCGCCAAGAGAGGGGCUUGCGGCUGAUUAGCUAGUUGGUGGGGGUAACGGCCUCCCAAGGCCACGAUCAGUAGCUGGUUUGAGAGGACGAUCAGCCACACUGGGACUGAGACACGGCCCAGACUCCUACGGGAGGCAGCAGUGAGGAAUUUUCCACAAUGGGCGAAAGCCUGAUGGAGCAAUACCGCGUGGAGGAAGAAGGUUCGUGGAUCGUAAACUCCUUUUCUCAGAGAAGAAGAUCUGACGGUAUCUGAGGAAUAAGCUCCGGCUAACUUUGUGCCAGCAGCCGCGGUAAUACAAGGGGAGCAAGCGUUAUCCGGAAUGAUUGGGCGUAAAGCGUCUGUAGGUGGUUCUUUAAGUCUACUGUCAAAUACGUUGGCUCAACCAACGGCAGGCAGUGGAGUACUAAAGAACUAGAGUGCGGUAGAGGUAGAGGGAAUCCCUAGCGUAACAGUGAAAUGUGUAGAUUUUAGGGGGAACACCAGCGGCGAAGGCGCUCUACUGGGCCGAUACUGACACUGAGAGACGAAAGCUAGAGGAGCGAAUAGGAUUAGAUACCCUAGUAGUUCUAGCUGUAAACGAUGGAAACUAAGAGGGGGUAACCCCCUUCUGUAGCUAACGCGUUAAGUUUCCCGCCUGGGGAGUAUGCUCGCAAGAGUGAAACUCAAAGGAAUUGACGGGAGAUCACACAAUAGGUGGAUUAUGCGGUUUAAUUUGAUGCAACGCAAAGAACCUUACCAGGGUUUGACAUGUCUAGAAUCUUUCAGAAAUGAAAGAGUGCUUCCUUUCUAUGAAAGGAAGAGCUAGAACACAGGUGGUGCAUGGCUGUCGUCAGCUCGUGCGUUGACGUGUAUGGUUAAGUCCUGCAACGAGCGCAACCCUCGUCUUUAGUUACUUUUUUAAGUUCUCUAAAGAGACUGCGCGCGCAAGCGCUGAGGAAGGUGAGGAUGACGUCAAGUCAGCAUGCCCCUUACACCCUGGGCGACACGCGUAAUACAAUGGUUGGGACAAUCAGAAGCUACCCCGUAAGGGCACGCCAAUCUGCUAAACCCAGCCUUAGUUCGGAUUGUAGGCUGCAACUCGCCUACAUGAAGCCGGAAUCUAUAGUAAUCGCUGGUCAGCCAUACAGCGGUGAAUACGUUCCUGAUCUCUGUACACACCGCCCGUCACAUCAAGAAAGCAGCCAGCAGGCGAAGACGUUAGCUCAACGCUUCGGCGAGAGCGGCGUCCACCCUGAGGGUUGUGAUCAUGAUGAAGUCGUAACAAGGUAGCCAA